rnacentral:rRNA from 1 species
GAUGAACGCUGGCGGCGUGCCUAAUACAUGCAAGUCGAGCGAACGGACGAGAAGCUUGCUUCUCUGAUGUUAGCGGCGGACGGGUGAGUAACACGUGGAUAACCUACCUAUAAGACUGGGAUAACUUCGGGAAACCGGAGCUAAUACCGGAUAAUAUUUUGAACCGCAUGAUUCAAAAGUGAAAGACGGUCUUGCUGUCACUUAUAGAUGGAUCCGCGCUGCAUUAGCUAGUUGGUAAGGUAACGGCUUACCAAGGCAACGAUGCAUAGCCGACCUGAGAGGGUGAUCGGCCACCCUGGAACUGAGACACGGUCCAGACUCCUACGGGAGGCAGCAGUAGGGAAUCUUCCGCAAUGGGCGAAAGCCUGACGGAGCAACGCCGCGUGAGUGAUGAAGGUCUUCGGAUCGUAAAACUCUGUUAUUAGGGAAGAACAUAUGUGUAAGUAACUGUGCACAUCUUGACGGUACCUAAGCAGAAAGCCACGGCUAACUACGU